UCAUUUCAAAACACACCGGUCUUCAGGAGCGCGCCAAAGAAGUCUGACGACGCUCAGACUCUGGAUUGAUCUUUUCAGCCAACAAGACAGCUUACCAUGUCAUCAGAGCAAGAACCUCCGUCAGCGAUAUUUGACAGAGUUUUCAAUACAAUUUCAAGAGCCAGACGAGAGCUUUCAAAUAACAAUAAUGAUGACCUACUUUCUUCAACUAGACGCCUUUUCCGGCGUCAGGUGCAUCAACUUCGCAGAACACCGGGGAGGCAGGAAAAUGCUGUCUGGCAGACCCACCUUUUCCUCCUCCCUGGCCCAGAUAUUGAGGUUUUACCCUCUACAACAGAGCUUGAACGGUUUGCAAACUUGGGUUUAGGUAAAUGUAUAGUUGAUACAUAAGGAUGUCAAAGAUAAAACAGGGUUUUUCCUGGGCUAAAAAGAGC